GGGUAGUCCCAGAGAUGACCAAGAUUAGCUGUAAGAUACCAAGAGCUUUAUAAAAUUCAGGAUACAUCUGAACCAUCUGAGUUGUCUUCACACUAGUGGGAAAUUAUAACAAUAAAGGCUGGGAACAUCCACACUAGAUGAACAGCAUUACCAAAGAAGAACGCCCUGGCAGUAAGAGAAAUUUUAAUUUGUUGUUCAUUUAUUUUUUUUCUAAUUAUAGACACAAGCAGAUUUAGUGAUACGGACACUAACGGAUGGUGUUUUGUGCUCUUAAUAAUUUUACAGGGAGUUUGUAUCUGUUAGACUUUGACAAGGACACCCGAGCCUUGUUCUUCUUCAAUAAUAAUGACGCUGUGCCAGAUAGUAUUUCGGGGACUGUUGCCAUGGCACACUACAACAUGUAGGAGAACACUUCCAGGAGCUCCUGUGGCGAUCAUUAUGCUUAAACUUGGAAAACUGCUGCUGAGGACGUCGGAUAAACCGACGUUGUUUGUCGUUGUAAAUUAGCUAUUUAUUUAAAGUGCGUUUUAUUUCCCGCGCUAACAGUAUUUCAGGACCAUGGACAAGGACCUGCGAAAUUCCACAAGGCCAAAGAAGUAGUACUACAGCCUGGGCUAAAUUUUGAAAACCACUGUUGUUGUUACUACUCCUGUUCUUGCAUUUGAUUGUCUUAAGUAUUUCUAUACUUUAAAGGAACAGACCCAAUAGAAUACAAGCAUGUAAAAAUACUGCUUUUGGAAAUCCGCGUAAUUUUUGUUUGUUAAUUUCGCUGGGCGAAAUUAGAAAAUAUCGAUAUAUCGCCGUGAAUGUGUUUUUCCAAACAUAACGAGUUGGCUGUGAGCUCGCCUGACGGUAAGGCUCUAUGUUUAAGAAAAUAAACGCCGUUUUCCGUCCCAACCACGGACAAAGAAGUAAGGAUGGCUGCCAGUCGGACCUCUAUCAUAAAGCGUGUACGGUGAAGUUGGUGCGGAGCACCUCGAUGCUCAUCGUGGGAGACAGUCGUCAGAAGACGACCGACUCUUCUUUAAAAAGGAGUAAAAGCUCCAUAAGUAUUGAGUCGACCGCACUUUACUACUAUAAACAAGAGGACCGGGUCUGGUUAUACUCUAGGACUCAGGACUGCCUUCAGUAUCUGGAGGAUUUAAUGGCUUUGAGGAGACAGUACCUCAAAAGCGUCAACAAUUUGAAAAGCAACGUCAACAAAGCAAACCAUUCCUCGGCGUCUACAGAGGCAAAGUCGGCUUCUUCGCCAUCCCCUAAGAAAGAAAAGAAGACAACGAAAACAAAAGCUAAGGCGCCCCCUGUUCCUGACGAAGUCAACACUCUUGAGUAUUUUGAUGCGGUCAUUGCCAGUUAUGACUCAGAAAAGAAGAGUAGACCAUAUACAGAUGAUGGACAUGCAGAUGUUGACUUCAUUGUUGCCACCAGUACCAGUGACCACGACUUGCACUCUAACUGGAUGCUAAGGGAUCCCAGGCGGUUCUCCAUGGACGAGGCAAAGCUGAAGAAGUCCAGCAGGAAAUCUCAAAGGAGUAAUGAGAAUGGAACAGUCAGUAGCCAAAAAAAGCUGCAGAGAAACCCGAUACAUUUACCCAAAGUUGUAGAAAGUGCCUUUCAAACACUACGAUUCAAACCAAAACUGAAGAAUAAAAAUGAGUGACCUCACAUUUAAUCCAAAAUUCAUCUUUCUUUUUAAAUUAUUUUUUUAAUCUAUUAAAAUCUAGGAUUUGUUGUUGUUUGUUUGUUGGCAGGAAAAGACAGCUUGGCCAUGUCAAACAGAAAGCUCAAAAUUUACAGUCAUUGAUCUGUCACUACACAACACUGAAAAAGCAGUUUAAGAGAAAAGUAAUCAAUUUUGAUAUCCUUUAAAACCAAUAAAUGUUCAUCUACAAAAAUGCAAAAAUCAGGUUUGUGCUUCAGAGAUGGAUUAUACCGUAUGUUCCCAUAUGAAUGGACUCCCAUAGUUAUGUCACUAAAAUUCAGGUUUAUUCAGAAGAAAUGUUCAGAUUUUUCAAUGUUAUGUUAUAAUAUUGCAUAUACUGUACAUAACAGAAAUAAUAGGCCCUGAAGAAAAGUAUUUAUGUGGAAUUAACAAGACCAUUAAGAAUGGUAAUAAAUACCUCUAGAUCAAAUAGUUGUAAUUGAUAAAGGAAUCUGUGGAAGCUCACAGUGUUAAUUAUCUCUGGAUGUGAUCAUUACUAUUGACCUAUUUUAUUGACUUCCAGUCGACUAACCCCUCAGAAUUCUAACCAAAAAUAAAGGAAUAUACAGGACAGUUCUGUUUCCUGGCCAACUAAUGGGAGAUACACUGUUCCUUAGUUUCUCAUGAAUAAUGCACAACAUAGUUACGUUGAGAGAUAUCUAUUUCAGGGGCAUAUAAAGCUUCCUUUCAAGUACGUGCACUUUCUGGAAACAUUUUUUCAGUUGUCAGCUUCAGACGUUAGUCAGACUCGCAGCCAUUCCCAAUAACGGUUUUCCCAUCACAAAUUGUUUGAACUAUGAGUUAACUUGGAGCCAUAAAAUAAAAUGAAUGUUCUUUGAUGUUGUUUAUUCAUUUGUCAGGAACAUUGUCACACGUCCUACAUCUUUGUUAUGGCUAACAGGAAAAAGUGCUAAGCCAAAAAAUAUUCAAACAUAGUAAGUAAGCUCCGUUUGGCCGGAUGAAGCUCACUGGUUUAUGUUCCAGGAUAACUAUGUCUCAAAU
ensembl:lincRNA